CCAACUAAAUCAUUUUAAGUUCAGGUCACUCACAAAACACUAGUCCAACACUUGGGCAUGCGCAGAAGCCUCUAGUAGAAACCAACCGACACGACACACACGACUAAACACGCAUGGACAUCGCUGGAGUACUUUACAGGCUCAUUUGAGAUGUUGUCAAGCAGACCAAAUCCCUGAAUGAACUUACAUCGACUGUGAUAGCCCAACGCACUCUUGUCCUGAAGGGAAUUCCUGUUUUACAUGGAUCAAGUCCAGCGAAUUCUACAGCACAGCAUUUGACGCUGUGACUGAUGGGACCAUCUCAUGUGUUGAUGUGCUCACUGUUCUUGGG